AGGCACCAAAGAGAAGGGCAGUGGUUUAGCACUUCUGAGUGGAAACAUGGAUGGGAUUCACUUUGGGACAACUUCAGACUGAUAAUUAGAGAGAAGCACUGUGAUGUGACAGAUCCUUGUUACUCCCACAAAGGUUUCUACAAUGUAGCAUCUACUAGUUUCCAUUGCUUCAAGGUAAAUCUAAAGCAGUAAAGAAGUAAAAUAAUUCAUACUUCAAUGAAAUUUGAAGAGUAGGUUAGGAAAAUGUUAUAUAUCUAGAACUGUCUUUUAACUCCCAAUCCAAAUUUGGUAGCAACUUUGUACAUGGGUCAAAAUCAUAAUGAAUAAAAAAAAAUCACUUCAAACA
rnacentral:lncRNA from 1 species